rnacentral:lncRNA from 1 species
GUCCAUCGUAUUUCUCUCUAACUGUUCUUCCUUCUUUCCCCAACUUUCCGACUAGAAUAGAAUCUCUCUUUUGCCUGCCUUGCCUUGCCUGCCUGCCUGGAUCAACAAAACAAAACAAAAGUAAGAAGGGAUCGCAAAUCCAUCCAGGUAUCAAUCCUUGCACUAUAAUUAAUUAAUUAAUUAUUAAUUAGCGAUGAGGAUUGAAGAUUGAAUCCAGGUAUCGGACAUUUUGCAGGUGAUCAGGAAUUAAUAGUGAGCCGGGCGGCCAUGGAUGAGAUUGAGACGCUGCCAACCUCCACGUUCUUCCGGCGCCAUCCUCUGCUGCUCUGCUUUCUCUUCUUCCUGGCUCUCCUCUACACAUUCUUCUACAGCCUCUUCGCCUUGGUCCUCGCCUCCUCCCCCGUCCUGCUCCUCACGGCGUUCCUCCUUGGCGUCGUCCUCGUCUACAGCGAGCCCAACGUGCCCGAGGAUCAUGCCCAUGUCUACAAGAAGAUCCGCGGACCCAACACAACCACCACCACCACCAGUAGGCACCAUUCCCUCCAUGGUGGUGGUGGUGGUGGUUCUGACUCGAGCGACUCUUCAUCCGGCGAAGAAAACAACAACCCACUCGCCAUGUCGUCCGUCCUGGACGCUGGUGGCGGUGAUGAUGACGACAACGACGAUUCGGAGUCCGAAUCGGAAGACGAGCCUCCCGAAGAAAAAAAGCACAAGGCGGAAGUGGUGAGGGCGGUGGCGUGGACGAUGGAGGAUGAGAAGAGCAUCGAGGACAUCGGUUCGCUGGAGCUCGAGAGGAACGCCGCCGUGGAGAAGCUCAUGUACAGACGGCUUGCCGGCAGGCAGCGCCGCCACACAGACCUGAUGGUUCACACCACGGACAGGAAGAACCCCUUCGACCUCGACGUGCCUUACCAUGAGGAAGACUUCCCCGGCUCCGCUCCUUCCAUGCUCUACCCGUCGCACAACCCCUUCUUCGAUGAUGAUGAUGAUGAUGAUGCUGCUGCUGCUACUAACAAUGGUCUUCAUCUUCAUGCGCCGCCGCCACCACAGUUGGUAUCCACAGGGGUGCGCAAGAACCCGUUGAUGUUGACACGGCAUGAGAGCUUCGCGGUGGGCUCGCAUUUGCCCAGUGACUCGAGGCAGUCCCGCUUCAGGCCCUACUUCAUGAUUGAGAAGAUGCAGGGCCAGCCAGUUAGUGUUCCCGAGGCCAGCAGGAAGAGCAGCUCCUCCUCUUCAUCUUCCUCCUCGUCUGCCAGUGCCCAUGCCUAUGCCAGCAAAGAAGAAGCAACCGCAGCCACAGCAGAAGAAGAAGCUUUGGAAGAAGCAGAAGCAACGUUGGAGGUGAAAAAGAGUGAUGAGCCUAGGCCUCACGAGGGGGGCAUGGUGGCAGCAGUGGACGUGGAGCUCAUCAGUGACUCCUCGGACGAUGACAUGUUGCUGACUGGCAGUGAUGGUCACAAAGAGCAGCAAAUGAAGGUGCAGCAGCAGCAGGUGAUGGCAGUGUCAGACGACGACGGGGAGUCGUUCGAAGUGGAGAGCAUCACAAAACAAGUAGCUAUAGCAGCAGCUUCAUCAGGCAAAGGGAAGCAAUUGGAUACAGAUACCGCGUACGACUAUAGCCUGACAGCUGGUAAGGUGGAGAAGAAGCACAAGGAGCCAUUGGACCAACCUGUGGCGCCACCUAGUAAGCUGACGUCCAUACGGAGAGUAGGCAAUCAAUUGGACCUGGAUCCUGCAUACGACUAUAGCCCGUCAGCUGGUACCGCGGAGAAGAAACAGGAGGAGCCAUUGGACCAACCUGUGGCGAUGGCAAUGGUGAUGCCGCCGCCUAAUAAGCUGGCGUCCAUGCGAAGAGUAUUCACAGAAGAUGCGGC